rnacentral:misc_RNA from 1 species
UGAACAUAAAGGUUGCUUCUUUCUUGUCUUUGAAUACAUGCAAAAUGGCUCUCUCAGGGAAUGGCUGAUCAGAACCAAGUCUCAAGAUACCAUAAGCUGGAAAAAAAGGAUUCAGAUUGUGUUGGAUGUAGCUAAUGGACUUCAUUAUCUUCACAGCUUUACCAAACCAGGCUACAUCCACAAGAACAUCAACAGUAGAAACAUUCUCCUCGACAACAACAUACGAGCA